GAUGAACGCUAGCGGCAGGCCUAAUACAUGCAAGUCGAACGGAUAUAUGUUUUUCGGAAUAUAUAUUAGUGGCGCACGGGUGAGUAACACGUACAUAACUUGCCCUCAAGCGGGGGAUAGCCUUGGGAAACUGAGAGUAAUACCCCAUAGAAUUAUUGGACGGCAUCGUUUGAUAAUUAAAACUACGGUGUUUGGGGAUAGAUGUGCGUCUGAUUAGCUAGUUGGUGAGGUAACUGCUCACCAAGGCGACGAUCAGUAGGGGGGCGUGAGAGCGUGGCCCCCCACACGGGUACUGAGACACGGACCCGACUCCUACGGGAGGCAGCAGUAAGGAAUAUUGGUCAAUGGAGGGAACUCUGAACCAGCCAUGCCGCGUGAAGGAUGACGGCCCUCUGGGUUGUAAACUUCUUUUGGAUGGGGCGAAAAAACGGGAUUUAUCCUGGACUGACGGUACCAUCAGAAUAAGCACCGGCUAACUCCGUG
rnacentral:rRNA from 1 species